ACGAGUAUGCUGGAAUUUGGAUAGACAGGUGAGUUUUAGGAGCUCAUGAGUUUCUCGUAAGAGUUCAAGUCUCUUUACUCGUA